rnacentral:tRNA from 1 species
GGCUCCGUAGCACAAUUGGAUUAAUGCCCCUGACUACGGAUCAGGAGAUUGGGGGUUCGAACCCCUCCGGAGUCA